UGGAGCCUAAAAUGUUAAAAAUUUAAUAUAUUUUUAUCAACAGAAAAUAAAAUAAAAUAAGAAUAAUUAGAUUGUUUUAACUCGUACACUAUAUAUAUAAAAAGAAAAAAAAUAAAAGUCGGUAAUAAAAGACAGAAAAAAUAAAUUAUUAAAUUAUUAAAAUAACUUUUCAAUCUUAAAUUUUCUGAACUUUGUUGAAGCUUCCAAAAAAUAACUAUAUCGAUGAAAAAACAUAACCAAAAAACCUAAGAUCCCAGAGAAAAACACACACACA
rnacentral:lncRNA from 1 species